UGAAUGUGAAAGCCCCCGGCUCAACCGGGGAGGGUCAUUGGAAACUGGGAAACUUGAGUGCAGAAGAGGAGAGUGGAAUUCCACGUGUAGCGGUGAAAUGCGUAGAGAUGUGGAGGAACACCAGUGGCGAAGGCGACUCUCUGGUCUGUAACUGACGCUGAGGAGCGAAAGCGUGGGGAGCGAACAGGAUUAGAUACCCUGGUAGUCCACGCCGUAAACGAUGAGUGCUAAGUGUUAGGGGGUUUCCGCCCCUUAGUGCUGCAGCUAACGCAUUAAGCACUCCGCCUGGGGAGUACGGUCGCAAGACUGAAACUCAAAGGAAUUGACGGGGGCCCGCACAAGCGGUGGAGCAUGUGGUUUAAUUCGAAGCAACGCGAAGAACCUUACCAGGUCUUGACAUCCUCUGACAACCCUAGAGAUAGGGCUUUCCCUUCGGGGACAGAGUGACAGGUGGUGCAUGGUUGUCGUCAGCUCGUGUCGUGAGAUGUUGGGUUAAGUCCCGCAACGAGCGCAACCCUUGAUCUUAGUUGCCAGCAUUCAGUUGGGCACUCUAAGGUGACUGCCGGUGACAAACCGGAGGAAGGUGGGGAUGACGUCAAAUCAUCAUGCCCCUUAUGACCUGGGCUACACACGUGCUACAAUGGACAGAACAAAGGGCUGCAAGACCGCAAGGUUUAGCCAAUCCCAUAAAUCUGUUCUC
rnacentral:rRNA from 1 species